UACGGAGGGUGCAAGCGUUAUCCGGAUUCACUGGGUUUAAAGGGUGCGUAGGCGGGCAGGUAAGUCCGUGGUGAAAUCUCUGAGCUUAACUCAGAAACUGCCAUGGAUACUUUUUGUCUUGAAUAUUGUGGAGGUGAGCGGAAUAUGUCAUGUAGCGGUGAAAUGCUUAGAUAUGACAUAGAACACCAAUUGCGAAGGCAGCUCACUACACAGUUAUUGACGCUGAGGCACGAAAGCGUGGGGAUCAAACAGG
rnacentral:rRNA from 1 species